rnacentral:rRNA from 1 species
ACGCUCGACACCUACGGGAGGCAGCAGUGGGGAAUAUUGCACAAUGGAGGAAACUCUGAUGCAGCGAUGCCGCGUGAGGGAAGAAGGUUUUCGGAUUGUAAACCUCUGUCUUUGGGGACGAUAAUGACGGUACCCAAGGAGGAAGCUCCGGCUAACUACGUGCCAACAGCCGCGGUAAUCUGAGCGGGCUGGCAAGGC